GAUCCUGGCUCAGGACGAACGCUGGCGGCGUGCUUAACACAUGCAAGUCGAACGGAAAGGCCCUGCUUUUGUGGGGUGCUCGAGUGGCGAACGGGUGAGUAACACGUGAGUAACCUGCCCUUGACUUUGGGAUAACUUCAGGAAACUGGGGCUAAUACCGGAUAGGAGCUCCUGCUGCAUGGUGGGGGUUGGAAAGUUUCGGCGGUUGGGGAUGGACUCGCGGCUUAUCAGCUUGUUGGUGGGGUAGUGGCUUACCAAGGCUUUGACGGGUAGCCGGCCUGAGAGGGUGACCGGCCACAUUGGGACUGAGAUACGGCCCAGACUCCUACGGGAGGCAGCAGUGGGGAAUAUUGCACAAUGGGCGGAAGCCUGAUGCAGCAACGCCGCGUGCGGGAUGACGGCCUUCGGGUUGUAAACCGCUUUCGCCUGUGACGAAGCGUGAGUGACGGUAAUGGGUAAAGAAGCACCGGCUAACUACGUGCCAGCAGCCGCGGUGAUACGUAGGGUGCGAGCGUUGUCCGGAUUUAUUGGGCGUAAAGGGCUCGUAGGUGGUUGAUCGCGUCGGAAGUGUAAUCUUGGGGCUUAACCCUGAGCGUGCUUUCGAUACGGGUUGACUUGAGGAAGGUAGGGGAGAAUGGAAUUCCUGGUGGAGCGGUGGAAUGCGCAGAUAUCAGGAGGAACACCAGUGGCGAAGGCGGUUCUCUGGGCCUUUCCUGACGCUGAGGAGCGAAAGCGUGGGGAGCGAACAGGCUUAGAUACCCUGGUAGUCCACGCUGUAAACGGUGGGUACUAGGUGUGGGGUCCAUUCCACGGGUUCCGUGCCGUAGCUAACGCUUUAAGUACCCCGCCUGGGGAGUACGGCCGCAAGGCUAAAACUCAAAGGA
rnacentral:rRNA from 1 species